UUACCUGUGCGCGCGCCUACACAUGCAAGUCGAGCGAGAAGGUUAUGAUAGAUUCUUCGGAUGACAGAUUAACUGGAAAGCGGCGGACGGGUGAGUAACGCGUGGGUAACCUGCCCCAUACACAGGGAUAGCCAUUGGAAACGAUGAUUAAUACCUGAUAAUACAUAUGAAUCGCAUGAUUUAAAUGUCAAAGAUUUAUCGGUAUGGGAUGGACCCGCGUCUGAUUAGCUAGUUGGUAAGGUAAUGGCUUACCAAGGCGACGAUCAGUAGCCGACCUGAGAGGGUGAUCGGCCACACUGGAACUGAGACACGGUCCAGACUCCUACGGGAGGCAGCAGUGGGGAAUAUUGCACAAUGGGCGCAAGCCUGAUGCAGCAACGCCGCGUGAACGAAGAAGGCUUUCGGGUCGUAAAGUUCUUUUCUUAGGGAAGAAAGAUGACGGUACCUAAGGAAUAAGCACCGGCUAAAUACGUGCCAGCAGCCGCGGUAAUACGUAUGGUGCAAGCGUUAUCCGGAAUCACUGGGCGUAAAGGGUACGUAGGCGGUGAUGCAAGUCAGAAGUGAAAGGCUACGGCUCAACCGUAGUAAGCUUUUGAAACUGCAUGACUAGAGUUCAGGAGAGGUAAGUGGAAUUCCUAGUGUAGAGGUGAAAUUCGUAGAUAUUAGGAGGAACACCAGUGGCGAAGGCGACUUACUGGACUGAUACUGACGCUGAGGUACGAAAGCGUGGGGAGCGAACAGGAUUAGAUACCCUGGUAGUCCACGCCGUAACGAUGAAUACUAGGUGUCGGGGGUCGAACCUCGUGCCGCAGUUAACACAUUAAGUAUUCCGCCUGGGGAGUACGCACGCAAGUGGUGAAACUCAAA
rnacentral:rRNA from 1 species